CCCACCAUGCAUUGUCCCCGAUCCAGAUAAUGGACCUAGGUUAGAAUCCCAACCAUACCAGGGUGGUAUUUCAAGGAUGGCUCCACUCGAACUAGCGUCCAAGUUUCAAAGCCUCCCACCUAUCCUACACAGGUAGAAUCAGAGUUCAAUGCAAAGCUGUAGUAAAGGUGCACGGGGUCUUUCCGUCUGGCCGCGGGUAUACUGCAUCUUAACAGCAAUUUCAAUUUCACUGAGUCUCGGGUGGAGACAGCGUGGCCCUCGUUACGCCAUUCGUGCAGGUCGGAACUUACCCGACAAGGAAUUUCGCUACCUUAGGACCGUUAUAGUUACGGCCGCCGUUUACUUGGGCUUCAAUCAAAAGCUUUGGACGAAUCCUAACCUCAUCAAUUAACCUUCAAGCACCGGGCAGGCGUCACACCCUAUACGUCCACUUACGUGUUUGCAGAGUGCUGUGUUUUUAAUAAACAGUCGGAGCCACCUGGUAUCUUCAACUCUUACCAGCUCAUUUAGCAAGUAAAAUCACCGGCAAGAGCACACCUUCUCCCGAAGUUACGGUGUCAUUUUGCCUAGUUCCUUCACCCGAGUUCUCUCAAGCGCCUUAGAAUUCUCAUCUCGUCCACCUGUGUCGGUUUGGGGUACGGUUUCAUAUAACCUGAAGCUUAGAGGAUUUUCCUGGAAGCAUGGUAUCACGCACUUUUCCCAAAAGAGGGUUCGUUAUCACGCCUUGAGCUUUAGAACUAAAUCUAAGAUUCCCGGAUUUUCCUAAGAACCUACUCUACACGCUUGAACUUGGACAACCAUCGCCAAGCUGCGUUAACCUUCUCCGUCUUCCCAUCGCAGUUAUAUGAAGUAUGGGGAUAUUAACCCAUUUCCCAUCGACUACGCAUUUCUGCCUCGCCUUAGGACCGACUAACCCUACGCCGAUUAACGUUGCGUAGGAAACCUUGGACUUCUGGCGAGGGGGUUUUUCACCCCCUUUAUCGUUACUCAUGUCAGCAUUCGCACUUCUGAUACCUUCAGCAAACCUCACAGCUCACCUUCAACGGCUUACAGAACGCUCUCCUACCAUCGCAAUAAAAUUGCGAUCCGUAGCUUCGGUAUGUAGUUUUAGCCCCGUUAAAUCUUCCGCGCAAACCGACUCGACCAGUGAGCUAUUACGCACUCUUUAAAGGAAUGGCUGCUUCUAAGCCAACCUUCUGGCUGUCUGGGCCUUUUCACAUCGUUUCCCACUUAACUACAAUUUUGGGACCUUAGCUGACGGUCUGGGUUGUUUCCCUUUCCACUACGGACGUUAGCACCCGCAGUGUGUCUCCCAUGCUCAUACUUGUCGGUAUUCGGAGUUUGCAAUGGUUUACUAAGCCUUGACGACCCGCUAGCCAUAACAGUGCUCUACCCCCGACAGUAAUACAUGAGGCUCUACCUAAAUAGAUUUCGGAGAGAACCAGCUAUCUCCGGGUUUGUUUGGCCUUUCACCCCUAUCCACAGCUCAUCCCCUCAUUUUUCAACAUAAGUGGGUUCGGGCCUCCAGUUAGUUUUACCUAACCUUCACCCUGGCCAUGGAUAAAUCACCCGGUUUCGGGUCUACUCCCAGCAACUAAACGCCCAUUUAAGACUCGGUUUCCCUACGGCUCCCCUAUUGGUUAACCUUGCUACUGAGAAGUAAGUCGCUGACCCAUUAUACAAAAGGUACGCAGUCACGGAAUAAAUCCGCUCCUACUGUUUGUAUGCAUACGAUUUCAGGUUCUAUUUCACUCCCCUCCCGGGGUUCUUUUCGCCUUUCCCUCACGGUACUUGUUCACUAUCGGUCAUUAAAGAGUAUUUAGCCUUGGA
rnacentral:rRNA from 1 species